rnacentral:rRNA from 1 species
GGGCUACUGCAGUGUAGGCUUUGCCUGCUAUCUCUUACCCAUGUCUUUUAAGUACCUUACGUUUCCUCGGCGGGUCCGCCCGCCGAUUGGACAAUUUAAACCAUUUGCAGUUGCAAUCAGCGUCUGAAAAAACUUAAUAGUUACAACUUUCAACAACGGAUCUCUUGGUUCUGGCAUCGAUGAAGAACGCAGCGAAAUGCGAUAAGUAGUGUGAAUUGCAGAAUUCAGUGAAUCAUCGAAUCUUUGAACGCACAUUGCGCCCCUUGGUAUUCCAUGGGGCAUGCCUGUUCGAGCGUCAUUUGUACCUUCAAGCUCUGCUUGGUGUUGGGUGUUUGUCUCGCCUCUGCGUGUAGACUCGCCUCAAAACAAUUGGCAGCCGGCGUAUUGAUUUCGGAGCGCAGUACAUCUCGCGCUUUGCACUCAUAACGACGACGUCCAAAAGUACAUUUUUACACUCUUGACCUCGGAUCAGGUAGGGAUACCCGCUGAACUUAAGCAUAUCAAUAGGCGGAGGAAGA